AAAAAAAAAAAAGUUGAGAUCUUCACGGUUUAAAAAAAAAAAAAAAAAAAAGGAUAGAAGGAGAAAAGUGGUUGCAAUUGGGUUGCGAGGCAGUUUGGGCUGCGGGGAGCCUGGGAGGGAGAGGUCAGAGUGCUGAGUUUGGGGAGGGAAGAGGGGGGUGCAUUAGUAGGGCCUGAUCCUGCUGCUCUCAGUCUCGCUUGGGGUGGAGACCCCCAUCCCCUGCCCGGGUGGCUGGGGACCCUCGGCGAGGGGGGAGCGGGUGCAUGCACCCCACCAUCAGCUCCAAAGCCAGCAGGUUUUCCAGAGGUUUUAUUUGAUCAUACCUGAACCUCUGCUUAGAUCCCAGUUAACUGCUACAAAAUAGGCACCCCUAAGAGCUGUCCCACUUCAGACCCAUCAAAAGCUUUGGAUCCCACAUAUUCUCACCUGGAAUGUGAUAUAUUUCAUCCCUUACACCAAAUGCCUUCCCAGAAACUGCAUAUCACACAGACCACUCGGUGAAGAGCACAAACACCCACUUACCAGUGGGGAAACAUUUUUAUACAACAUCCACUUCAUCUCCAGCCUGUGAAUGCUGAUCCUCAAGGAUAUUUCACGUUAGGCUCAGAGAGAGAGGGAAAGGCAGAUGCCUGUGCACUGGGUUGAUGCUGACUCCUCGGAAAAGCCAUCGGGAGGUUAAGCAGAGAACAUAAGCGCCUUGGCCAGAGCCAGCACCCUCACGGAGCUGUGCUGGGAAAUGGUUACGAUUCCUGCACUUCUGCAGCCCGGGGAAAUGCGGUGACUCAACACGCUCGUGCCAGUGGGCGACAUCUCCGUGUCGUGAUGCGUGUAAGCGCAUCAGGAAUCAAUUGAGUAUUCCCCCCGUGCGUCAGGCUGACAGGAACUCACUCAGACCAGAGGCAUGCUCCGGCACAUGUGACGUCGCGUCUUUGAAGGCACUGCUCGCAAUGGUUUCGGGAAAAUGCCAGCCAACUGUGGGCUGCUUGGCAAGAGGACAAUAACGGGAACAGGGCAAAGAAACUGAGCCCUCCUAUGAUAGGAAAUUCCAGGAGAGCUUCUCCAUAGCAAUGGGUCUCAUGACUUGCUGGGAUGCAUGGCCCUUUGGUCACCAUCCGCCUGUCUGGAACGAGUCUGGUGUGAAUGAUGCUCUUAGACACUGGGCUUCCUCUAGGGCAGCUAACUUGCAUUUCAGAUGAGAUCCUGGGGAUGAACAAGUAUAUGCAAAAAAGGCAUCAGAGGAAUAUAGGCUCAAGAGGAAUGAGCAGCAGCUUAACAGGGUAGACGUAAAAGAACACAGUGCCAUGAGGAGCAGGCAAGUUGCAAGAGUUAGGAAGAGGAGUGGGGUUUUUCCUUUCCAGCAGCAUGAGCGAGCUGGAGAGCUCUUUCUUGGUGCUGACAUGUCACAUUAGGAAGCUGCACAAGCAAAUGAGCAUCCUGGCAAUGGCACCAACACUGCAGACAUUCAUAUACCAGCAUGAUGGAUUCUUCCUCAGAAGGACAAGAACUUAAUCUAUGAACAAAAUGAAUAAAUUUCAGCCAAAGGAAAAAAAAUCAUGCCUCCCACUUGCCUUCAUUUUUAUGGCCCAUUUGCAUGCUUUUUCCAGAGUUUUCAGCAGCCUCCUCAAUCUUCCUGCAGAAAUCCCUCAGGACAGCCUGAUCCAAUAUAAACUUUACUGUAGCUGCUUUCCCAGGUGACUGGCUCCUGUAGCUAUUCUCUCUGCUCUCGCUCUGCCCAAAGCCACUACUUGCUGCCAAAUCCUUGAUGUUUUUCUGAGGUCCCCAUGAAUAGCACAUGUGGCUUGAUUUCCCAUCUUUUCCUUUAAGCCCCCUUUGUCUGCCUCUUAUAGUCUCAGGUUUUCAAAGAGUGGGCAGAGUUUUCCAGGCUUGCACUGUAUGUCUUGCAGCCCACAGGAAGCCUCCUAAAUCUGAACAUAUUUCAAGUGCAGUGGUGCUAGAUGUCGGAGGGGUCCUAUCUCCAUCCUUCCACCACCUCAUCCUUGACUUUACUCACACUCUUCCAAGUCAGUGUUGUAGCCCAUAUGCCCUGACAAACCAUGCUUGGAGACUCCACCCCAGUUCUCCGUACAUACCUAAAAGUUGGCUGUCUGGCUGAACGUACCUGUCGCGCUUCUUCAUGGUUGAAGACAGGCGUGAGGGAUCUGGGACUUUUGUUGGAUGCUGAGAAAUGCUGUCCUUUCCAGGACACUUGACUGAAUAGUGACUGCUCCAGUGCCCUCAGGGCUAAAGCCUUCAGUCCUUCUUCCAAAAGAGUCCGACUUUUGUGCCUCGGACUGCAUGGCUUUUCCGGCAGGCUCAGGAGCCCUUUGGCCAAGGGCUGCUUGGCUUCCAAGGCCGGGCAGGGGUGGAUGGCUGCGGCCACCUGGGUACAGCUGCAGCCUGCAUGGGAUGGCUUAGGCUUGCUCAUGCCCGCAUCCAUUCCAGCUGCUGGGUGAGCCAGAAAGGCUGCUCUUGUAGCUGAAAGGGUAGCUGGAGAGUGGCUGUGGACAAAGUUUGGAAUGAGGACUUCUGUUCCUGGAGCGUCCUGGACACAGUUUUAACUGAGCAGGAUACAUGUGGCUGCCGAGUACCAACACUAAUCUUUUUCCCCUCUACCAUAACCAGUUUCCAUAAGCAUUGUGAGGCUCAGGAAAAGAAAAAACAAACAAACAAACAAACAAGAAGAAAAAAAAAAAACAA